rnacentral:rRNA from 1 species
AACGAACGCUGGCGGCGCGCCUAAUACAUGCAAGUCGAGCGAGAAGACGUAGCAAUACGUUUGUAAAGCGGCGAACGGGUGAGGAAUACAUGGGUAACCUACCCUCGAGUGGGGAAUAACUAGCCGAAGGUUAGCUAAUACCGCGUACGCUCCUUGGACUUCGGUUCAGGGAGGAAAGCGAUACCGUGGGUAUCGCGCUCUUGGAUGGGCUCAUGUCCUAUCAGCUUGUUGGUGAGGAACGGCUCACCAAGGCUUCGACGGGUAGCUGGUCUGAGAGGACGAUCAGCCACACUGGCACUGCGACACGGCCCAGACUCCUACGGGAGGCAGCAGUGGGGAAUCUUGCGCAAUGGGCGAAAGCCUGACGCAGCGACGCCGCGUGAGGGAUGACGGCCUC